UACGUAGGGUGCAAGCGUUAAUCGGAAUUACUGGGCGUAAAGCGUGCGCAGGCGGUUUUGUAAGUCUGACGUGAAAUCCCCGGGCUCAACCUGGGAAUUGCGUUGGAGACUGCAAGGCUGGAGUCUGGCAGAGGGGGGUAGAAUUCCACGUGUAGCAGUGAAAUGCGUAGAGAUGUGGAGGAACACCGAUGGCGAAGGCAGCCCCCUGGGUCAACACUGACGCUCAGGCACGAAAGCGUGGGGAGCAAACAGG
rnacentral:rRNA from 1 species